rnacentral:lncRNA from 1 species
CUUCGGGUGAGUGAGAACCCCCCACCGGGACCCCCAGCCCGGGCACGGGGGGAAGGCCCUUGGCAUGGGGUCCCCAUUGGGUUCUUGGGGGUCCCUGUUGGGUUCCUGGGAUCCUCAUUGGGUUUUCGGGGCCCCCGUUGGAUUCUCGGGGCCCCCGUUGGGUUCUCAGGGCCCCCGUUGGGUUAUUUUGGUCACCAUUGGGUUCUUGGGAUCCCCAUUGGGUUCUUGGGGUCCCCAUUGGGUUCCUGGGAUCCUCAUUGGGUUCUUGGGGGUCCCUGUUGGGUUCCUGGGAUCCCCAUUGGAUUCUCGGGGGCCCCGUUGGAUUCUCAGGGCCCCCGUUGGGUUAUUUUGGUCACCAUUGGGUUCUUGGGAUCCCCAUUGGGUUCUUGGGGUCCCCAUUGGGUUCCUCAGAUCCCCAUUGGGUUCUUGGGGGUCCCCACUGGAUUGUUGGGGUCCCCGUUGGGUUCCUGGAAUCCUCAUUGGGUUUUUGGGGACCCCCGUUGGAUUCUCAGGGCCCCCGUUGGGUUCUUGGGAUCCCCAUUGAGUUCUUGGGGUCCCCGUUGGGUUCCUGGGGCCCCCGUUGGGUUCCUGGGGUCUCCGCUGGGUUCCUGGGAUCCCCAUUGGGUUCUUGGGGGUCCCCAUUGGAUUCUUGGGGCCCCCGUUGGGUUCUUGGGAUCCCCAUUGGGUUCUUGGGGCCCCCGUUGGGUUCUUGGGGGUCACCAUUGGAUUCUUGGGGGCCCCACUGGGUUAUUUUGGUCACCGUUGGGUUCUUGGGGCUCCUCUUGGAUUUUUGGGGGUUCCAUUGGGUUCCUGGGAUCCCCAUUGGAUUCUUGGGGCUCCCGUUGGGUUCUUGGGAUCCCCGUUGGGUUCUUGGGAUCCCCAUUGGAUUCUUGGGGCCCCCGUUGGGUUCUUGGGGUCCCCGUUGGGUUCUUGGUGCCCCCAUUGGGUUAUUUUGGUCACCAUUGGGUUCUUGGGGCCCCUCUUGGAUUCUUGGGGGUUCCAUUGGGUUCUUGGGGAUCACCAUUGGAUUCUCGGGGCCCCCGUUGGGUUCUUGGGGCCCCUGUUGUGUUCUUGGGGGUCACCAUUGGAUUCUUGGGGGUCC